GGAGAGGUGUCCGAGUGGUCGAUGGUGAAGGUCUUGAAAACCUUUGUACCGAGAGGUACCGUGGGUUCGAAUCCCACCCUCUCCGCCA
rnacentral:tRNA from 1 species